rnacentral:lncRNA from 13 species
CACAGCAGUGACUCCGCACACUCUCAACGUAACCUGCAUCCUCACAGAGGAAAAAGCUCUCACCGGAAGAAGACUAAAGGGGGCCACUCGUCCAAGCGGCACCACCAUGGGGUUCGGGGACAGGCCCAUCACCAGAGCCAGUCUGGCUCCCCGGGGCGGCACCGCCACACAUCUGGGUCAGGCAGGAAGAAGAGUGAGUCUCGGGGGCGCGGUGGCAUGGGGGUCCGACAGCGUAGCAGCUCUUGGAGCUCCGGACGCUCUUCAUCACGCUCCGGCUCCAGAGAGAGAGGCCCCAGCAAGGCCAAGUCCCCCCACCCCCAUGCCAGACAGAACAACUCCAGGGAGAGAGACAGCCCUCACCACUCUGAUGCUGACCGUGCUCGCCGUCGCUCCAGAAGCUAUUCUCCCAUCAGGAAGAGGAGACGAGACUCUCCCAGCUUCAUGGAGGCUCGCAGGAUCACCAGCGCUCGGAAGCGGCCUAUCCCGUACUACCGUCCAAGCCCCUCCUCCUCCAGCUCCAUGUCUAGCCCCUCCCACUCGGAGAGGAGUCGCAGCCAUGACAGCUACAGCAGCUAUAGCCGCAGUCACAGCCGCACCAGGAGCCACAGCCGCUCCCGCAGCCGCAACCACAGCUACUACAGUCGCAGCAGUUACGAGAGCCCCGGCUUCUGAGGAGAGAGAGACAGAGAAAGAAAGGGCGAGGGAGAAAGAGAGCGAGCGAGGGGGUAGAUAG